CGGAGCGUAGCGCAGCCUGGUAGCGCACCUCGUUCGGGACGAGGGGGUCGCAGGUUCAAAUCCUGCCGCUCCGACCA
rnacentral:tRNA from 3 species